rnacentral:misc_RNA from 1 species
ACACCUCAACUCUUCAUGGUUUUCCAUGAUGAGCUUGGACUUUGGGGGUCUUGCUGGCCUGUGGUCGGCUCCUCUCAAAUGAAUCAGCUUGCCAGUUUUUGGUGGGCAUCACAGGUGUGAUAACUAUCUACGCUUGUGGUUUUCCACCAGGGUAACCUUCAGCAGUGGAGGUUCACUGGAGCUUACAAAUGUCUCUCCUCUGUGAGGACAGCCCUUUGAAU